rnacentral:tRNA from 1 species
GCCCCCGUAGCUCAGUGGAUAGAGCGGCCGCCUUCUAAGCGGUUGGUCGUGGGUUCGAUUCCUACCGGGGGCGCCA